CUGGAGAUCGGUUUGGAGCAAGAAUUCACGGUGAGCGCUGCUCUGGGGCGGGAAUCGGGCCGGGUGGGGUCAGGGCUGGUGCUACCCGUUGGAGCGCCGCGGCCGCGGUCGCAACAGGCGCCGUUCCCUGGCGGGACUCCAGAGCCCGUCGGCCACGCCCUGGGUCUUCUUCGGAGGGGGGUUCUGGACGCACCCAGAACCUCGGCUUCCGCGCUGCCGGGAACGCCCGGGAGGGAGUGCCUAGUCGAGAGGCGUGGCGGAGAGUGCGGGGAGGGGGCGCUGGCCCCAGCCUUUGGCCAACUUCAGUGGUUUGCCCACUAGUAUUGUUUUAAGAAAAUGGCAGACAAGCCGGACAUGGGGGAAAUCGCCAGCUUCGAUAAGGCCAAGCUGAAGAAAACCGAGACGCAGGAGAAGAACACCCUGCCGACCAAAGAGAGUAAGUGCGCCCCAGCCUCCGGGUCCGUGGCCUCCAUGCGCAGUCCCCCUACCCGCCCUUCCCGUGCCAACCGUACCCCCACCCGGCCAAUGCCCCUGGUUUGGGCGGCCCCUGCUACCUUUAAGGUUACACAAAGUGCUCUGUCUCCCCCGCCCCAAGCCUCUUAACUCCCAGACCUGGUGGGUGCCUCAUUCACAUCAGGUUUUGGAGUGCAUCGCUUGUGGGGAUUGUAAGGUGCUUCAACCCCCAGUGCCCGCUUACCGCUCUCCGCAGCCAUUGAGCAGGAAAAGCGGAGUGAAAUUUCCUAAGAGCCUAGAGGAUUCCCCACCCCCAUCAUCUCUGAGACCCCCGUCGUGAUGUGGAGGAAGAGCCACCUGCAAGAUGGACACGAGCCACAAGCUGCACUGUGAACCCAGGCACUCCGCGCCGAUGCCACCGGCCUGUUGGUACCUGAGGGGACACCCAAUCGGACUGCCAAAUUCUCCGGUUUGCCCUGGGAUAUUAUAGAAAAUUAUUUGUAUGAUUAAUUAAAAUAAAACACCUCGUGGCAUGGCUAGCGUGGUCUGAAUCUAUCUUGGUUGAG
rnacentral:lncRNA from 1 species